UACGUAGGGUGCAAGCGUUGUCCGGAAUUAUUGGGCGUAAAGAGCUCGUAGGCGGUCUGUCGCGUCUGCUGUGAAAACUCAGGGCUUAACCCUGAGCUUGCAGUGGGUACGGGCAGACUAGAGUGCGGUAGGGGAGACUGGAAUUCCUGGUGUAGCGGUGAAAUGCGCAGAUAUCAGGAGGAACACCGAUGGCGAAGGCAGGUCUCUGGGCCGAUACUGACGCUGGAGGAGCGAAAGCGUGGGGAGCGAACAGG
rnacentral:rRNA from 1 species